UAACCGAGAUUAUGGAAUUACAAAGUGUUGAUGGUGAUGGUUUGUAGAGUUUGAGCAUAGAUGUAAAGGUUGUAGAAGUGUUAGGAGUUGUUUUAAGAGAAGAGGAUUGGUUUAUUUUCUAUUAUUAUGCUUAGUGCAUUGUGGAAAGUGAGUAAUAUUCGAUGGGGGAAAUUUAUUGAUUUAGAAGAAAACGUAGCAUUGACAUUAGGUGAACCCUUUUGUAACUAUUAAACAUGAGAAACAGUUAUAAACAGAUGGAGUACAUUGGAGUAAUGCGGUUUUAAAAAAACAUGAAAUAGAGAAAAUCUUGAAAUGUCUUGAAGAAGCAAUGCAUAGCAACUGAGAAAUAUAAAGAAACGGAAGUAGAGUUCGGUUCACAUUGUUUUCAUUUGGAAACAUUACUCAGUUGAGUAUUUGGGACCAUCUUUGUCCGCUUCAUUGGUUGACGUAUAGGUGGCAGCAGCGGAAGUUGAUGAUUCCCCAUAUUCCAUUUUUCCUUCUUUUUUUUUUUGCAUUGAUGGUUAAAAUCUGUAGAGUGGUGUAUAAGUUUGUGUAAAAAAUAUGAGACAUAUGUAAACGUUUAGAUUAGUUAAUACUAUAAUACGUCCUUGUUAGGAACGGCGCUCAUUCCAGAGAUGGUGAAGGUAGGGGCGUUGUCUGUUACACAUUUACAUGAUAAAUAAAUUUUUGGCCUUCAAGUUCUGCAAUACAUUUUGGGAGUCUAUUGCGUAGACGACGAUUCACCUGAAGUACGGUAUAGGUUUUAGCGAGUAUUAGAGUUUGCAGAAAAGGUGGAUUGUAAGAAAUGCAAACCUCAUGAU
rnacentral:lncRNA from 1 species